AGAACGAACGCUGGCGGCAGGCUUAACACAUGCAAGUCGAACGCAUCCUUCGGGGUGAGUGGCAGACGGGUGAGUAACACGUGGGAACGUACCUUUCAGUUUGGAAUAACCCAGGGAAACUUGGGCUAAUACCGGAUACGCCCGUAAGGGGAAAGAUUUAUCGCUGAGAGAUCGGCCCGCGUCUGAUUAGCUAGUUGGUGAGGUAAAGGCUCACCAAGGCGACGAUCAGUAGCUGGUCUGAGAGGAUGAUCAGCCACACUGGGACUGAGACACGGCCCAGACUCCUACGGGAGGCAGCAGUGGGGAAUAUUGGACAAUGGGCGCAAGCCUGAUCCAGCCAUGCCGCGUGAGUGAUGAAGGCCUUAGGGUUGUAAAGCUCUUUCGCACGCGACGAUAAUGACGGUAGCGUGAGAAGAGCCCCGGCUAACUUCGUGCCAGCAGCCGC
rnacentral:rRNA from 1 species